GAUGAAGAACGCAGCGAAAUGCGAUAAGUAAUGUGAAUUGCAGAAUUCAGUGAAUCAUCGAAUCUUUGAACGCACAUUGCGCCCCCUGGUAUUCCGGGGGGCAUGCCUGUUCGAGCGUCAUUUCACCACUCAAGCCUCGCUUGAUACUGGGCAACGCGGUCCGCCGCGUGCCUCAAAUCGACCGGCUGGGUCUUCUGUCCCCUAAGCGUUGUGGAAACUAUUCGCUAAAGGGUGUUCGGGAGGCUACGCCGUAAAACAACCCCAUUUCUAAGGUUGACCUCGGAUCAGGUAGGGAUACCCGCUGAACUUAAGCAUAUCAAUAAGCGGAGGA
rnacentral:misc_RNA from 1 species